rnacentral:rRNA from 1 species
AUGACUGAGAGCCUGUUCGGUUCCUCUCCGCUCCUCAACUGCGCUCCGGGAGCGAAGCAGGCUGCAGCUCAUUUUGACGGAGCGGCUAAAACCGAGCUCCACAGCUGGAGCGAAGUGGAGAGAUUCCGAACAGUGCCAACAAGGAUAGCUGCAAUUCUAAGCAUGAUGCUGGCUUACAUGUUAAUGCUUUGUCUGAAGAGAACCAUAAAGAUGCAUCACCUCAAAAAGAAGCAAUUAUCUGUGGAGCUCCUAAAGGAAAAAUGUGGCUGGUGCAAGUCCUGCCAAAUCAGUGGUGGUAGUGAUUGCAUUUUCAGAUUUAAACUGAUGUUAGAGUCCAUCUGCGACGUGUUGCCUUCUCAGGAGAAUGGCAAAAGCCAGCACACUUUGUUGAAGUUGUUGGGUCUGCAGCUCAUAUCUUGGUCCGUACAUCUAAUAAGUCUGCAGGUUAUGCAAUUGCUAGAAAGCCAGGGAGGAAGAUUACUUUUUUAG